rnacentral:rRNA from 1 species
CGAACGGGUGAGUAACACGUGAGCAACCUGCCCUGGACUCUGGGAUAAGCGCUGGAAACGGCGUCUAAUACUGGAUAUGAGCUCCUUCCGCAUGGUGGGGGUUGGAAAGAUUUUUCGGUCUGGGAUGGGCUCGCGGCCUAUCAGCUUGUUGGUGAGGUAAUGGCUCACCAAGGCGUCGACGGGUAGCCGGCCUGAGAGGGUGACCGGCCACACUGGGACUGAGACACGGCCCAGACUCCUACGGGAGGCAGCAGUGGGGAAUAUUGCACAAUGGGCGGAAGCCUGAUGCAGCAACGCCGCGUGAGGGAUGACGGCCUUCGGGUUGUAAACCUCUUUUAGCAGGGAAGAAGCGAAAGUGACGGUACCUGCAGAAAAAGCGCCGGCUAACUACGUGCCAGCAGCCGCGGUAAUACGUAGGGCGCAAGCGUUAUCCGGAAUUAUUGGGCGUAAAGAGCUCGUAGGCGGUUUGUCGCGUCUGCUGUGAAAUCCCGAGGCUCAACCUCGGGCCUGCAGUGGGUACGGGCAGACUAGAGUGCGGUAGGGGAGAUUGGAAUUCCUGGUGUAGCGGUGGAAUGCGCAGAUAUCAGGAGGAACACCGAUGGCGAAGGCAGAUCUCUGGGCCGUAACUGACGCUGAGGAGCGAAAGGGUGGGGAGCAAACAGGCUUAGAU